rnacentral:rRNA from 1 species
AUGAGGUUGGAGAAGUGCUGGUUCUGCUCCUCCACCGUCUACCCCGGCCACGGCAUCCAGUUCGUCCGCAACGACGCCAAGAUCUUUCGGUUCUGCCGAUCAAAAUGCCACAAGAACUUCAAGAUGAAGAGGAACCCUCGCAAGGUUAAGUGGACCAAGGCGUACAGACGCCUGCGUGGAAAGGACAUGACACAGGAUGCCACGUUUGAGUUCGAGAGGAAGAGGAACAGGCCGGAGCGCUACGACCGUAACGUCACUGAGCACACUCUCAAGGCCAUCCCACUUAUCACAAAGAUCAGACAUGAACGGCAGAAGAAACACAUCACAGAGAGGUCGGUUGCUGUACCUUGA